rnacentral:rRNA from 1 species
UACGUAGGUCCCGAGCGUUGUCCGGAUUUAUUGGGCGUAAAGCGAGCGCAGGUGGUUUAUUAAGUCUGGUGUAAAAGGCAGUGGCUCAACCAUUGUAUGCAUUGGAAACUGGUAGACUUGAGUGCAGGAGAGGAGAGUGGAAUUCCAUGUGUAGCGGUGAAAUGCGUAGAUAUAUGGAGGAACACCGGUGGCGAAAGCGGCUCUCUGGACUGUAACUGACACUGAGGCUCGAAAGCUAGGGGAGCAAACGGG